rnacentral:rRNA from 1 species
UACAGAGGGUGCAAGCGUUGUUCGGAAUUACUGGGCGUAAAGCGUUUGUAGGCGGUGCUGAGAGUCCUAGGUGAAAUCCUGGAGCUCAACUCCAGAACUGCCUUUGAUACUGAAGAUCUUGAGUUCGGGAGAGGUGAGUGGAACUGCGAGUGUAGAGGUGAAAUUCGUAGAUAUUCGCAAGAACACCAGUGGCGAAGGCGGCUCACUGGCCCGAUACUGACGCUGAGGCACGAAAGCGUGGGGAGCAAACAGG